AACCUUUACACUGCACGACAGUGCGAUAGGGGGACUCCGAGUGCGAGGGCAUAGAGCCCUCGCUUUUGUACACCGUAAGGUGGUGUACGAAUAAGAACUGGGCAAGACCGGUGCCAGCCGCCGCGGUAAUACCGGCAGUUCGAGUGAUGGCCGAUUUUAUUGGGCCUAAAGCGUUCGUAGCUGGCCGAUCAAGUCUGUCGGGAAAUCUGCUCGCCUAACGAGCAGGCGUCCGGCGGAAACUGAUCGGCUUGGGACCGGAAGACUCGAGGGGUACGUCCGGGGUAGGAGUGAAAUCCUGUAAUCCUGGACGGACCACCGAUGGCGAAAGCACCUCGAGAGCACGGAUCCGACAGUGAGGAACGAAAGCUGGGGUCUCGAACCGGAUUAGAUACCCGGGUAGUCCCAGCUGUCAACGAUGCCCGCUAGGUAUGGCGCAGGCUACGAGCCUGUGCUAUGCCGUAGCGAAGGCGCUAAGCGGGCCGCCUGGGAAGUACGUCUGCAAGGAUGAAACUUAA
rnacentral:rRNA from 1 species